rnacentral:rRNA from 1 species
UACAGAGGUCUCAAGCGUUGUUCGGAUUCAUUGGGCGUAAAGGGUGCGUAGGUGGCGGGGUAAGUCAGGUGUGAAAUUUCGGAGCUUAACUCCGAAACUGCAUUUGAUACUGCCUUGCUUGAGGACUGGAGAGGAGACUGGAAUUCACGGUGUAGCAGUGAAAUGCGUAGAUAUCGUGAGGAAGACCAGUGGCGAAGGCGGGUCUCUGGACAGUUCCUGACACUGAGGCACGAAGGC